AGGGAUUUAAGUUAACAAAAAACUAUCAACCUUCAAAGUUGAAAAUAGAGGUAUCUUUAAGCCUUA
rnacentral:tRNA from 1 species